rnacentral:lncRNA from 1 species
GGGAGAGACAUGUUGUCUGUAACCUGUAACUAGCCUAGGGAGAGACAUGUUGUCUGUAAACUGUAACUAGCCUGGGGAGAGACAUGUUGUCUGUAACCUGUAUCUAGCCUAGGGAGAGACAUGUUGUCUGUAACCUGUAACUAGCCUGGGGAGAGACAUGUUGUCUGUAACCUGUAACUAGCCUGGGGAGAGACAUGUUGUCUGUAACCUGUAACUAGCCUAGGGAGAGACAUGUUGUCUGUAACCUGUAUCUAGCCUAGGGAGAGACAUGUUGUCUGUAACCUGUAACUAGCCUGGGGAGGGACAUGUUGUCUGUAACCUGUAACUAGCCUAGGGAGAGACAUGUUGUCUGUAACCUGUAACUAGCCUAGGGAGAGACAUGUUGUCUGUAACCUGUAACUAGCCUAGGGAGAGACAUGUUGUCUGUAACCUGUAACUAGCCUAGGGAGAGACAUGUUGUCUGUAACCUGUAACUAGCCUGGGGAGAGACAUGUUGUCUGUAACCUGUAACUAGCCUAGGGAGAGACAUGUUGUCUGUAACCUGUAACUAGCCUGGGGAGAGACAUGUUGUCUGUAACCUGUAACUAGCCUGGGGAGAGACAUGUUGUCUGUAACCUGUAACUAGCCUGGGGAGAGACAUGUUGUCUGUAACCUGUAACUAGCCUAGGGAGAGACCUGGCUGGCUUGCUUUAUUUAAAUGAAUGUAAUACACAUUGUUAUAUCCUUCUGGUUAAAUCCCAAAUGGCACCCUAUUCCCUACAUAGUGCACUACUUUUGACCAGGUCCCAUAGUGCUCUGUUCAAAAGUAGUGCACUUUAUAGGGAAUAGGGUGCCAUUUGGGCCAAAUAUAGGAUAAUUUGACUGUAGCCUUCUGCGUUGAGCAGAGACAACUUUUUCCUUGUUGGCACUUUAUCUGUUGGUUAGUAGGUGUUAUUAUAUUAUUGAACCUCUGGAGCCAUACGCUAUUGGGUUAGUCAGGCUGAUCAGCAAGUCUCAAUAAGGUGUUGGGAUCAACAAGUCUCAAUAAGGUGUUGGGAUCAACAAGUCUCAAUAAGGUGUUGGGUUAGUCAGACUGAUCAGCAAGUCUCAAUAAGGUGUUGGGUUAGUCAGGCUGAUCAACAAGUCUCAAUAAGGUGUUGGGUUAGUCAGACUGAUCAGAAAGUCUCAAUAAGGUGUUGGGUUAGUCAGACUGAUCAGCAAGUCUCAAUAAGGUGUUGGGUUAGUCAGGCUGAUCAGCAAGUCUCAAUAAGGUGUUGGGUUAGUCAGGCUGAUCAACAAGUCUCAAUAAGGUGUUGGGUUAGUCAGGCUGAUCAGAAAGUCUCAAGCCUCAAACACCUUAGUAAUAUAUUCUGUCCAUGGACUCAUGUUACUCAUUUUCACUGGGGGGUGCGUCCCAAAUGUCAACUCAUUCUACAUUUGACCAGGGCCCAUAUGGGGGAAUAGGAAGUCAUUAAUGACCAGGGCCCAUAUGGGGGAAUAGGAAGUCAUUAAUGACCAGGGCCCAUAUGGGGGAAUAGGAAGUCAUUAAUGACCAGGGCCCAUAUGGGGGAAUAGUGUGUUCUCAGAAGGUGAAGCCAGUAGUGGCCUACUGGGCCGAGGCUUUGAUGUUGCUUUCCUGUGGCGUUACUUCUUUAUUUUAUCCUUGGUGGGGUUUAUUUUAUGUAAAUCAAGGAGACGUGCUUUUGAUUUGUCUGUUGAGUGUAAGGGGUUGUCCCAAAUGUCACCCUAUUCCCUAUGUAGUGCAUUACUAUGGGCCCUAUUCCCUAUGUAGUGCGCUACUAUGGGCCCUAUUCCCUAUGUAGUGCGCUACUAUGGGCCCUAUUCCCUAUGUAGUGCGCUACUAUGGGCCCUAUUCCCUAUGUAGUGCGCUACUAUGGGCCCUAUUCCCAAUGUAGUGCGCUACUAUGGGCCCUAUUCCCUAUGUAGUGCGCUACUAUGGGCCCUAUUCCCUAUGUAGUGCGCCACUAUGGGCCCUAUUCCCUAUGUAGUGCGCCACUAUGGGCCCUAUUCCCUAUGUAGUGCGCUACUGUGGGCCCUAUUCCCUAUGUAGUGCUCUACUAUGGGCCCUAUUCCCUAUGUAGUGCUCUACUAUGGGCCCUAUUCCCUAUGUAGUGCUCUACUAUGGGCCCUAUUCCCUAUGUAGUGCACUAUAAAUGGAAUAAGGUGCCAUUAGGGAGACAAGCCAUCUCAGAACAUACGCUGUUAAACCAUUGAGUACAUAACUGUGCUGUUACAUAUUUAUAUAAUUUGUAAGUAUGCAUAUUGUAAUUAUUUUAUAUUUGUAUACAUGCACUAGUUUAUAAGUGUGCAUUAUUUUUUCGGGACAUGAAUCAAACUGACGUGUAAAAAAGUUGAAAAAAAUAAAGUACUUUUUUUGUUAACCUG